AUGCCCAAGUGGAGCUGCCCGUUUGCAGACGCAGCCCCGCUCCAACUCAAAGGCCACGUGGGCCUGAAAAUGCUGAGCCACGGUGUGUUCGCCGAGCGCUACUCACACGAGGUCUUCGAAAGAACCAAGCAGCUCCUUUUCCAAGGGGUUCGGGCCUAUAGAGAUCACAUAUCGAGCGAAGAUUUGUUCCGUGAACCACCUGCGGGAGUCACUGAAGUCUGGUGUGGUGGGAGCCCCUCAAACUGCGAGAGGACAGAUGUUGAUUGGAUCUGAUAGCCGACUGACACGGUGCCAAGCUCAGGCCUCAGAAGGUGGCCUUCCCAGGACAGCGCCCAUCGCUUGUUCGUCAUGCAUAAGAUCUGUGGAUGGGAAGGCGGUCUGCAGCCAGUGUGAGCGGGCCCUGUGUGGGCAGUGUGUAUACACCUGCUGGGGCUGCAGUGCUUUGGCCUGUGUGCUGUGUGGCCUUGCAGACUAUGCUGAUGAUGGUGAGAAGCCUGAGGUGGCCACAGAUAGCACAAGAUGUUCACAC
rnacentral:lncRNA from 1 species